GACGAACGCUGGCGGCGUGCCUAACACAUGCAAGUCGAGCGGAGUCGAUCGACGGAAGCCUUCGGGCGGAAGAUGGUUGACUUAGCGGCGGAUGGGUGAGUAACGCGUGGGCAACCUGCCUCGAAGACCGGGAUAACAGCCCGAAAGGGCUGCUAAUACCGGAUGUGGUCAAGGAUCCGCAUGGAUUUUUGAUUAAAGGGGAAACCCGUUUCGAGAUGGGCCCGCGUCCUAUCAGCUAGUUGGUGAGGUAAAAGCUCACCAAGGCGACGACGGGUAGCCGGCCUGAGAGGGUGACCGGCCACACUGGAACUGAGACACGGUCCAGACUCCUACGGGGGGGCAGGCAGUGGGGAAUCUUCCACAAUGGGCGAAAGCCUGAUGGAGCGACGCCGCGUGAGCGAAGAAGGCCUUGGGUUGUAAAGCUCUGUCUGGAGGGACGAACGAAAAUGAACGGUACCUCCGGAGGAAGCCACGGCUAACUACGUG
rnacentral:rRNA from 1 species